rnacentral:lncRNA from 1 species
UCACGUCGUGCGAAAUGCAUUUGUUGCCGAUAUGCUCGAAUAAGCUUAGAGUUUUCCGAAUUCCCCCUGUCGCCAGUUGAAGAAUUAAAAAAAAAAACGUUUCGUCGUUCCCUCGUUCAAAAGCUCCUCAAGUCUCACGACGGUUUUACCUUUACAUUUUCGUAUACGAUCGGAAAAAGACAGGAACUCGAUAUUGGCAAAAAUCAGUAAAUUUUCAAAAGAAUGUUUUUUCCAGCGCGUUCCAACGAUUCGAUGCGAUAAAUAAUUUGCAUCCGGUGUGCUAUUAUUGGUUAUGUACGAGAAAAUCAUCGAGUGACACUGAAACAGACGUGUCAUAAGCACGUUCAACUAACUGUCCAUGGCAUAUAACGAAUAGAAAAAAUAUUUUCGGGUGCGUUCGAAUGAUUCAAUGCUAUGGAGAAGUAGGACAAAAACUGCAGUCAUCGAAUAUAUCAGCGCUGCAAUUCGAUACGACAGUUGAUGCUUCGAGGCACUAGGAUUUCUGGCUCGACCCUAGACUUCCAAAAUUACGAGUAUCCAGGGCUCUUAUUCACCGGGCCACGUGAGCAGAAAUUCGAAGAAUUUUUCCUCGCGCAUCAGUCGCUCCUCAUGCCCUGGAAUUAGCGGGCGAUUUAUGACGCAACGAAAUUGGUAAAGGAGGCGUGAGGCUAGCUCGUAAGAUCGACGUCGAGCCCCGAGCGUGCAGACAACCCGGAUCAGCAUCGCCAUAUCUCGACUUCAAACGGGAGAAAAAAGCACGAGAGGUAGAAAUAUUUAUCCUGCACGAUGGUGAAUACGGGGCACUCUGUUUUUCAUUAUUCAAAAGGUGCUCAGGUAAAUCGGGAAUGAAGUUUCAACGAAUAGACUGAGAAGCUUGAUGGACAGAAGAAAAUUCAAAAAAUGGAAGGAAAUUCGUGAAAUUAUUGAGGUUCCUCGUCGUGCAGGCGUUUGUGCGAGUGCUCCGGGGACACGGAGAACAGGAUGUGAAUGCUGACGGGACUUUGAACCGUAUACGCGCAUCGCUGUACGAAGAGUCUCGUACGUCCGUCACACUUUACCGGCUUCCACGUAAUUUCAUUGCACCUGUGGAUUGACAAAACGACGAAUGAAUCACGGCGAUACGAUCGCACGGGGAAACAAAAGUGUCGCUUAUGCGGUAGCGAGAAUCACAGAGAAGAGAGCGAGAGAGGGAGAGAGAAAAUACCGGGCAUAAUGGCCUCAAUGGAGCAUGAUAAUUGGACGAUUUAGUCAAAUAAUAAGACGCUCUACCGUAACGAGGAAAAAAGCUGUUCGGUGCUACGAGAAUUUACUUUGCUAGACACGAGAAUAAGAACGAUUCAACAAUCGGGUUUUCCGAUAUUUUUUUAAUACUUCUCAAAGUCCAAUUUUAUCAUUUCAAUCUUUUUUCCAAAUUAAGAAUCACUCUGCGGAAUCCGUGCUUCUACUAUUUUUACGUUCCCCUUUAAAGACGAAAGUUGAAUCCAUUGUUAACAAUCUUUUUAACUUUAGUUUGAUUUUUUUUGAGCUGCAGGCUUUUAAAUGAGGAUCAACCGAUUCGGAGCCUCGUACAGAUAAAUGUCAAUCGGGCUCCAACGUUUUCGCACACUGGCGAAACGACGAAGUUACUUUAUUUCAUAAUUAUACGCCGAGUUUUUUCCGUUUACGAAAAGAAAAACGAGUUUUUCCUCCCGUUUUCUUCCCGAACGCGAGUUCAUUCAAACGGUAUGCAAGUCAAAUUUUCAAUUACACGCUCGAGCCGUGUUAAUUACGCGAUAUAUCCGAGCAGCCUCCCGCGGUGCUCUUUACGCAUUUAUCAGAAGUUGCCCAGCCAACCUGGAAACCCCUCUCGAUUUCCCAGGGGAAUUCUCACCAGCCUCGUGUACUUUCUGAAAAGCAACACGCACAUAAAUGAAUAUCUAUACACCUUUCUACAUGGACGGGGAAAAAAUGCGUGUCUCUUUAUAGAGAUUUACGAAUGUGCCAAGUACGUACUCAAUGUGUAGAGCUGGCAGUUUGUUACGAGCGUUUGAAUACUCGUUCGUGUACGAAUGUAUGUAAACAUGAAGCAGGCGAAUAAUUUCGGGUAUUCGUUAUUGGGACUUUGAUGGAGCUUAUGAGCAAGAGAAUCAAAAGAAGUAAACGUCGCUUUUUCUCGUUUUUUAAGUUCGCUAACUCAACUUUUUAUGUCACUCUUCGAUUGGUGGAUAGUUUUUUCGAUAACCGUAUCAGAGAGCGACCAAUGUUUAAUUUAGAACGUUUUUGAGUCUGCGUACGAGUGAUGGUAAGACAUUUUUUUUCUCAAUAUCAGUCAUGUUCGAAGUAAUUCUGAAUUGUCGAGGAUUUUCAGCGUAAAAUCCAUCGAAUUUGUAAAAUGGCUCGAGACUUAUUUUAGAAUUGAGAUGAAAAUGUUUAAUUCGAGCUUGGUAUGAGAACGAGAGACAGUAGACAACGAAUAACUGUACCACGAGUUAAUUACACUCGGAAACCGAGAUUAAAUAACGAAAUUGAGGAUAAAAUAAGUUCACCGGUGUCAAUUGAAUUCGACUAAUCUAAAAGACUAGCUAAAAGAAUCUCGAUAAUUCUCUCGACUGACGAGGCAGCAAUUGUCCACUGUAAGUAAAACAGUGUGCUAGGUUUCAUUUAAAAAAUAAAUUUCCAAUAUUUGAGGAUAUUUUAUCAAAUCGAUCGAAUUUUUGACUCGCACCAUUCCUUUGACACCGCCCAGGCUCAUUUUUUGACAACCAUCAUUAGGAAUAAUCAUGGGAAAAAAGUAAAUUACAAGAAUUUCGCUUGAGUCAUAAGUGUUAAUCGUGCGAAUAAUAAAACAAUAAUGAUAAUAAUGAGAACACGAAGAGUGCACGUGAAUCUGUAGUGAUGAAUGAUGGAAGGGAGCUUUUGCGCAGGCCGAGGGUUUAAAGCUGGAUUAAAUCGUCUCCGCGGAAGCAAUCCAGGUUUUUUCUUCGAAAUCCCAGGAUUAAGGGUAGCCUCUGUCUGUGGUACACUUGUUUUAUGCUGAGUGCACCGAAAAACCCAUGCGCUUUUUAUGUAUUUGGAUAAUUUAUUACCGUCAGGUCGAUCAAUAGUGGUGGCUGCGUGUGCUUUUCAACGUCGAAAAUUUAUGGUGCUCGAAAAACUUGAAAUAUUUUAAUUUUUUUUUUUUCAUGAAUAUCAGUGGUGAAGAAAUCAUUUUCGUAUUUUCCUAAUUUGCAUCAUUUUUUAUCGCACUUCGUUCACCGCACUCAACAAAAUAUAUUCGAUCUUUCCAAUCACAUUUUCUUUCUUAUUCGGUCCAUAAUCAUAUCCGGAAUGGCGUAAUUCAAUAAUCCUUUGAAAUCAUGAAAUUCAUACUUUCAGAGAUGAA